GGAAUCUUCCACAAUGGACGAAAGUCUGAUGGAGCAACGCCGCGUGAACGAUGAAGGCCUUCGGGUCGUAAAGUUCUGUUGUAAGGGAAGAACAAGUGCCGCAGGCAAUGGCGGCACCUUGACGGUACCUUGCGAGAAAGCCACGGCUAACUACGUGCCAGCAGCCGCGGUAAUACGUAGGUGGCAAGCGUUGUCCGGAAUUAUUGGGCGUAAAGCGCGCGCAGGCGGCCUCUUAAGUCUGAUGUGAAAGCCCCCGGCUCAACCGGGGAGGGCCAUUGGAAACUGGGAGGCUUGAGUAUAGGAGAGAAGAGUGGAAUUCCACGUGUAGCGGUGAAAUGCGUAGAGAUGUGGAGGAACACCAGUGGCGAAGGCGACUCUUUGGCCUAUAACUGACGCUGAGGCGCGAAAGCGUGGGGAGCAAACAGGAUUAGAUACCCGGG
rnacentral:rRNA from 1 species